rnacentral:rRNA from 1 species
GUGCCAGCAGCCGCGGUAAUACGUAGGGUGCGAGCGUUGUCCGGAAUUACUGGGCGUAAAGAGCUCGUAGGUGGUUUGUCGCGUUGUUCGUGAAAACUCACAGCUUAACUGUGGGCGUGCGGGCGAUACGGGCAGACUAGAGUACUGCAGGGGAGACUGGAAUUCCUGGUGUAGCGGUGGAAUGCGCAGAUAUCAGGAGGAACACCGGUGGCGAAGGCGGGUCUCUGGGCAGUAACUGACGCUGAGGAGCGAAAGCGUGGGGAGCGAACAGGAUUAGAUACCCUGGUAGUCCACGCCGUAAACGGUGGGUACUAGGUGUGGGUUCCUUCCUUGGGAUCCGUGCCGUAGCUAACGCAUUAAGUACCCCGCCUGGGGAGUACGGCCGCAAGGCUAAAACUCAAAGGAAUUGACGGGGGCCCGCACAAGCGGCGGAGCAUGUGGAUUAAUUCGAUGCAACGCGAAGAACCUUACCUGGGUUUGACAUGCACAGGACGCCGGCAGAGAUGUCGGUUCCCUUGUGGCCUGUGU